ensembl:lncRNA
UUUUGUUGGAGAUCCUUGUGUAUUUGCAGCCUUCUGAAGUCAUCAAUGUUUAGGCUGUCAUCCUGCUGAUAUGAUGGGAGCCACAAGUAGUUGUAACAGCAUGAAGGAGCUCACACUUAUCUGGAGGCCUUUCUGGAAGCCUGUAGGCUCUUGAUAUGUCAUUUUCCAGCUACCCAAGAAUCCGCUGCAUCAGGUGAAUGCAGAUGGAGAUCAAAUUAUCGGAUCUUGACUCUCCAUGGAGUCCAUUUCCUAUACUGCUAUACUGCCAAUGUUGUUCCUCUGUUGUGCAAGAUCCUUGUUAUUUUUUACUCCGAACGAAAGUGAUGUUGUCACAUCUAGAGGCUACAUUUUCCCUUUUGCAAACUCAUCUUUUCAUCCCUUGCAUUUUUAAAAAAAUCUCUUGUCUGCAUUCUUUUGUGGUCUGAGGUUUCUGUGUCUCUGCCAAACACUGAUACAUUCAUUGCAGGCUUCAGCUGCUUUGCAGAACCUGAAUAGACACUGAGGCUACAUAGGCAGCUUCAAUUAAGCAGUUCUAUAGAGCUGAUAUUUCUUGUUGAAAAACAGUGCCUAUUUGCAGGGGCACACAAAGCAGCAAUUCCAAGGAUGCAAAUAGGAACAAAAUACUUAAAAAAUAAUAACUAUUAAGGCAACUAAUUGUAAGCGUUCUGCAGAGAAUACAAAGGCCCAUUUACCCAGUUGCUUCCUUCUGCUCUGCCAUUGUGAAAUUCCAAGUAUGCACAUUACAGAAGUGGUGCAUAUGGUAAAGUAGAAUCUCAGUGAGAAACUUCCAGAUUCUAACAGCUGAAUUACAGACUUUUUGAGACAAUAAGAUUUCUUUUCUAGGAGAAGUAUAGCUAUGAAAUACACAAAAGUCUUUUUAUUCCUACGCAUAUAUAUACAGCAGUCCAAGAGUGCAUUUUUCUUUUAUCUUGCUUCUAAGACACAAGGAUAUUGUACUUCAUACAGGGCUUCAGUGCAGAACACAUGGUGAUGUGCUCUACUCUUUUUCUUUAAGUUUUGGAGUCUUCCUCUAUUUACUUUUGCUUCCUUUCUUUUGUUUUCCUUCCUUUUUUUUUUUAAUUUCCAUUGGUUUAUUUGCUGAGAGGUGGAAGAGGAGCUUUUUCUUCCGGAGAAAACCUCCUGCAGGCUUUAGUUUUUGCUGCAUUUGAAACUGUUAAGUUCAGUCUCCACCCCCAUUUCCUUCUUCCCCUGGGUGUGGGAACCUGGCAGAACAUUUUUGUGUUCCAAUCUGAGUCAAAUUAUCACAGAUUACUCUGUCUGGCCUAAGCUAUUAUUAGAUCAGCCAGCAACUCCAGCUGUUUUAGUUAUUUCAACAACUGGCUUUACUGCUUGUCUGAAACCCCCAAAAUACAGCUCUCUCCUCCUAGAAAAUGCUUACCCAGAUAUGGGGCUGUGUCAGAAUGUGUCACUUGGGAAUGCUCAGGUGGAACUGCUCAGGAGCACUCUGUCAGAUCCCCAUUUAUCUCCUGCAGGCUUGUUAAAGCCUACCUCCUUCCCAGUUACUUCCAUUAUUUGUACACCUUUUUCAAGUAUCAAGACACUGAUGAGAUGCUGCUUUGAUAGAGCAACCCUGAAGCUGUUGAUCACCUGAGAACUCCAACAUAAACUGUAUGUGAGGAACAGCUCACACUCAGUAUGAAUGAGUGUGGCUGGACAAGUGCUCACUGGAAAAUAAUUCCUUGUACAGAACAGUUUUCCAUCUCUGUGGCCUCAGUCUUUGUGUAUUAGCAGAUACUGCUG